GGUCUUUUGUGUUUUAUUUAAGAUCGGACCUGCCCAUUGAUUAAUAAUAUUAAAAGGCUGCGGUAUUUUAACUGUACUAAGGUAGCAUAAUCAUUUGUCUUUUAAUUGGAGGCUAGAAUGAAUGGUUUGAUGAAAUAUAAACUUUCUUUUUAUAAUUAUUUUGAAUUUAAUUUUUUAGUUAAAAAGCUAAAAUUUUUAUAUAAGACGAGAAGACCCUUUAGAAGUUUACUAUUUUUAUUUAAUUUUGUUUUUUGUUUUUAAAAUAUUUUUUUAGAAAAAUUAGUUUUGUUGGGGUGACAUUAAAAUUUAAUUAACUUUUAAUUAUUUUUUCAUUUAUUUAUGUUUUUUUGAUCCAAAAUUUUUGAUUAUAAGAUUAACUUACCUAAGGGAUAACAGCGUAAUUUUUUCGGAGAGUUCUUAUCGAUGAAUAAGUUUGCGA
rnacentral:rRNA from 1 species